rnacentral:rRNA from 1 species
AACGAACGCUGGCGGCAUGCCUAACACAUGCAAGUCGAACGAACCCUUCGGGGUUAGUGGCGCACGCAUGCGUAACGCGUGGGAAACUGCCCUUUGCUUCGGAAUCACUUAGGGAAACUUGUGCUAAUACCGGAAUAUGUCCUCGAAACAAAGAUUUAUCGGCAAGAGAUGAGCCCGCGUAGGAUUCGGUAGUUGGUGGGGUAAAGGCCUACCAAGCCGACGAUCCUUAGCUGGUCUGAGAGGAUGAACAGCCACACUGGAACUGAGACACGGUCCAGACUCCUACGGGAGGCAGCAGUGGGGAAUAUUGGACAAUGGGCGCAAGCCUGAUGCAGCAAUGCCGCGUGAGUGAUGAAGGCAUUCGGGUCGUAAAGCUCUGUUACAAGGGAAGAUAAGGACAGUACCUGGAGAAUAAGCGCCGGCUAACUCCGUG